GAUAGGGAGAAGGAGAGCGAAGCAGUUGAGCCAAGUUGCACAAUCUUGGUUGGUAUCGGUCUGCGGGUUGAUAGAGGAGAUGGAGCUUUUCUUGGAAGUUGAUUGAGAGGCCCGAAAUAAGCUCAAAGCUAUAAAUAAUGAUCUUUAGAGCAGCAACCUUAGCAAAAUUAAGGGUGUCAUCAGCAUAAUGGAGAAUCUUCGUGCCACCUCGGACCCACGGAUUCUCCAGGCCCGCAAAAGCCCUUCUGAUGAAGCUUUGUUGGGCAUUGUGCACAAGGGGGGUCAACAGCAAAAAUGAAGAGAAAGUAGAUGAUCUUGUCUACGCUCGACGAGCCCGCCUCGCUGAUUUAAUUUUGAUCUGUUUAGUCGCGACUAGACUCGCGAGCGGAGACUGAUCGCUGGGGCUCCGGGUCAAACUUUUUGCCUCCUCCAACCGAGAAUCGGUCCCCAGCGGUGCGGUGCCGCGUGAUUUUCCUUUUCGACUCCUCGCAAUCCAAGCUUUGUGGGCACGUUUUCUCCGUGCGCGAACGUUCUUUCCGUGCCUCAUUCACCAUUUUUUUUCUUCCCUCCAUUCUAUUUCUCCUCUUUUUGCCAAAGGGCCGGUGCUCGAAUCUAGUCGUCUCCUUCCUCCCUUCCUGGGGUGGAAUGCAUCACCAUCGGCACCGACUUCUUCAAAAGAAUCCCUGCUGUCUCCCUCUGAUGGCGAGAUUGUAAUCCCGGCGACCAUCAUCAUCUUCUUCAUCUAUUUCUUCCCAUCCCUCCGGCUUGGGCUCGGACAUGUCGAGCAGUACCGUUUCCUGGGCCAACUCGUGGGGCCCUCCCUCCGCCGGUCUCAGGGGGCGUCCCAAACCUCUCCUCCCGAGCAGCAGCAUCAGAAGGAGGAGAUGGGCUGGUUCGUGCUGGGAUGGUGGGAGGAAGAUCCUCUGCACCUGCGCCGCCCCUCCGCGGAAUUGGGGCGACGGCCCUCCUGCCUGCGGUACCUAUAAUUCAUCCAUCUCCGAUAAUUUGGGAGUGGGUAAAGAUGUUGGGGUUGAACCUGAUGUCCUAAUCGAGUGCAGAGAUGUCCACAAAUCCUUUGGAGAUAAGCAAAUUUUGAGAGGUGUGAGCUUCAAGAUUAGACAAGGGGAAGCUGUUGGAAUAAUUGGACCUUCAGGCACUGGCAAAUCAACAGUGCUCAAGGUUAUGGCAGGGCUUUUAGCCCCAGACAAGGGUGAGGUUUUUAUCCGUGGAAGAAAGAGACAUGGUUUGGUCAGUGAUGAAGAAAUAUCAGGCCUCCGGAUCGGCUUGGUGUUUCAGAGUGCAGCAUUAUUUGAUUCUCUUACAGUCCGUGAAAAUGUUGGUUUUCUAUUAUAUGAAAAUUCAAAGAUGUCAGAAGAUCGGAUAGCAGAACUUGUGGCAGAAAAUUUGUCUGCAGUAGGGCUCAAGGGAGUUGAAGACUGUUUGCCAUCAGAACUAUCUGGUGGCAUGAAAAAACGUGUAGCUUUAGCGAGGUCUAUAAUCUUUGAUAACACAAAGGAGGUGGUAGAACCAGAGGUGCUCUUGUAUGACGAACCCACAGCAGGACUUGAUCCUAUUGCUUCCACUGUCGUCGAAGAUCUCAUUCGCUCUGUGCAUAUGAAAGGCGAGGAUGCCCAUGGAAAGCCAGGAAAGAUCACAUCCUAUGUGGUUGUCACUCAUCAGCAUAGCACCAUAAAAAGAGCUGUUGAUAGAUUGUUGUUUCUUUAUGAGGGAAGGAUAGUCUGGGAAGGAAUGACAGAUGAAUUUACCACAUCCACAAAUCCUAUAGUUAGACAGUUCGCAUCCGGCAGCUUAGAUGGGCCUAUCAAAUACUGAAACUACACUCAAUAGCAUUUCUGGUGUGCUGGUAAUCUAUUUAUCUUACCUGCCAACCUCUGGACUUCCGUGUAACAAGGACCUUAUAUUCUCAUCAUUCAAGUUAUGACUGGAAGGUCGGAGACAGUCUGCAGGCGCACGGCGAUGGCUUGGCCAUUAUAUGGCAAUCCCUGGGCCUGAUUGAUGGCUGUUGGAACUCGUUACAGUUAUGUUUUCAACUGGAUCUGCGCAUUAAGAGAUGAUGACUGCUUUGUUAUGAGGUCAGGAUAACAAUCAUGAAUCUUGGAACCAUUAGGAGAAUUGGGCACUUCUAUGCAAAACAAUCAUUGGAAUGCCUUAAGGCUGUAGUUGUUAUUUGUACUUUUUCUUUGCGGAAGUCUGCAUUUUGUGCAGUCUUAGGAAAAAAUGGCAGAAAAUUUGAACCUGUGGGUUCCUCAGAUCUGGCAGAUGCAGAAGGUUCUGUAUCUUGUUAAGUCUUGGAUUUUUAUUUCAGCAGAUUAUAAAACUAUUUUGGAACAUUAUUGGAA